CCUACGGGAGGCUGCAGUGAGGAAUAUUGGUCAAUGGACGAGAGUCUGAACCAGCCAAGUAGCGUGAAGGAUGACUGCCCUAUGGGUUGUAAACUUCUUUUAUAUGGGAAUAAAAUGUUCCACGUGUGGGAUUUUGUAUGUACCAUAUGAAUAAGGAUCGGCUAACUCCGUGCCAGCAGCCGCGGUAAUACGGAGGAUCCGAGCGUUAUCCGGAUUUAUUGGGUUUAAAGGGAGCGUAGGUGGAUUGUUAAGUCAGUUGUGAAAGUUUGCGGCUCAACCGUAAAAUUGCAGUUGAAACUGGCAGUCUUGAGUACAGGAGAGGUGGGCGGAAGUCGUGGUGUAGCGGUGAAAUGCUUAGAUAUCACGAAGAACUCCGAUUGCGAAGGCAGUUCACUGGACUGCAACUGACACUGAGGCUCGAAAGUGUGGGUAUCAAACAGGAUUAGAUACCCCUGUAGUC
rnacentral:rRNA from 1 species